AUACGGAGGAGGCAAGCGUUAAUCGGAAUUACUGGGCGUAAAGCGCGCGUAGGCGGUUUGUUAAGUCGGAUGUGAAAGCCCCGGGCUCAACCUGGGAAUUGCAUUCGAUACUGGCAAGCUAGAGUAUAGUAGAGGCAAGUGGAAUUCCGGGUGUAGCGGUGAAAUGCGUAGAUAUCCGGAGGAACAUCAGUGGCGAAGGCGACUUGCUGGACUAAUACUGACGCUGAGGAGCGAAAGCGUGGGGAGCAAACGGGAUUAGAAACCCCAGUAGUCC
rnacentral:rRNA from 1 species